CCCUACGCAGGGAUACAAGACUAGCCUAACCAGAUAACAGAGGGAGACACAACACUAGGGAGACUACGACUCGAGCCUAGAUGUUGUCAUGCAAAGUCGUCCCUAAGUUAAGGUUUCUAUCCUACUUGCCUAAGCAAGCCUAUCCUAACCAGGAAAGGAGCAAGCACACAAGCAAACAACAUACAAGCAUACAUCAAAUGAGAACAAGCAUUUCAAACAAGCAUGUCAAUCAG
rnacentral:lncRNA from 1 species